UUUUAAAAAAAUUUUAUAAUUUUCUGAUUUAGUUUUUACUGUCUCUUAUGACCUUUUGGUUUAAAAUAAGUGGAAGGGUGGAACUUAGAUUUCAGUACUUCCGGUGUUUAUUUUGAUAUAAGUCAAAAAAAAAAUGUAAUUCAAGUUAUGUUAGACCUCCACCCUAUUUGUUCCUAACUUCCACAUCUAGUUUUGUUUAGUUCGGGUAUAAGUAAGAACUAGCUAUUACAGGGAUAAAUACAAAUAUGAGGAUAAGAAAAAUAACGUUUGGAUGAAAAUUGGAUUGUUUCCGAAAAUAAGAAAAAUAGUGUUUUGAUAAAUAAUAUGGAAUAAGAAAAAUAGUGGAUAGUUAUAUAUAGAAAAUGAAGGUGUUAGUGGGAAUAGUUAUACCAGCUUAUUUCAGGUACCUGAAAAUUACUAUUCUCGGGUAAAAUAAUUUACGUUUGGGUAUAAAAGGGAUAAGGGGUUAUCCCUACUCUUAUCCGUGAUCCAAACGCUGCCUAGAGUGUCGAACUCAAGUUCCACCACAUUCAACCUUCUCUAAAAAAUUAAUUAAAUAUUAAAACUAAACUCUAUUUUACACUGGGUUAGAAUUACCUCUUGACAAAUAUGGGUUAGAUUAACUUUAAAUAAUAAUAGAGAAUUUAAUAAUUUAAUAUGUUGAAUUUUGUAGGGAUAAGUUUAUCAUUAUAUUUAGGAGAUAACUGGAUUUAUUUACUUACAUCAAAAUAAAUAAUAGACCUCAAAAAACUAGUUACAUUAGUAUCAAGUACUUACACCAAAAUAAAUAAAUAAAAUGCUUAAAUUUAAUUUUCAAAAUAUGAGUUAUAUCAAAAUAAAUAACAAAAAAAUAACUACACUUAAAAAAAAAACUCCAACAAUAUUAUACUUAAGUUACGUUGAAUCUAGAAAUUCGUCAAUCCAAGGGCCCCUUAA
rnacentral:lncRNA from 1 species